ensembl:snoRNA
UGUCCUUCACCUGAGUUGAGUGGCGUCUAGUUGGUGGGACCCAUCUCACAUGAGUGCAGGAUAAACCAGCCCCUUGUUUAGCCCCACUUGGCUUCUGGACUGUGCCCAGCCCCACUUCAUGCUGUGGUCACAUGG